UACGAGAGCCUCGAGCGUUAUCCGGAAUUAUUGGGCGUAAAGGGUGCGUAGGUUGUUCUGUUAGUCUUUUGUUAAAGCCCCGAGCUUAACUUGGGAUAUGCAAAAGAAACGGCAGAACUUGAAAGUGCGAGAGGUGUACGGAACUCAUGGUGUAGGGGUGAAAUCCGUUGAUAUCAUGGGGAACACCAAAUGCGAAGGCAGUACACUGGCGCAUAUUUGACACUGAAGCACGAAAGCGUGGGUAGCGAAUGGG
rnacentral:rRNA from 1 species